GCAGACUCCAAGGGUUUUAUAGCGUCCGGUAGCGACACGGAGCCGGCUCCCCCUUUUCCAGCCUUCCUCCCCAUCUCCCAUUCCCCGUCCCCCACGACCUAUACCAGAGGUCCUUAGGCCUCCACGUCUCUCCUUUUGCCGAGUAGCCCAAGGUUUCCACCCAUCUGCCAGGGGGAUGGCGUCCACUCUGAUGGGGAAUGAGGGCGAGAAGAAGAGCAGCUGGCCAUCUCAAGCUGCACCCUCCUUGAGAGGAGGUCCGGCUUCGUUGUCUCGUUCUGAGGAAUACCUGUCCCGGAUCAGUACAGAACUCAUGGAGGAGGCUUUGUGCACUGCUUGCUGCCACUUGAACCCUGUGCCCAUCAAAAAAAAGCAGUCACAAGACCAAGCGACUCAGAUAUCCAAACGCGCAUUCUUCACCAACACCUGAGGCACAGACACCUGCCCUCUCCCCUCUCUUCCACCAUCUCCUGCUCCGACAGAAACCGUACCUGCAGCAAGGCAUACCUCCUGCCAACUCCUGGUGAAAAGAACAUGCCUCAAAACUACUCUUUUGCCACUCGUUAACCACUUCCGUUUGUGGGGACCUCCUGGUCAUGAGCAGCAGCAUCCCGAAGCCUUCAAAGUGUUCUGGAUUCAUCACAGGACCCUCCAGCCUCAGCCAGCAAGGAUACCACCAGGAAUGAAAGUGCUUUAAUAAAGAGACAGGGUGUGCA
rnacentral:sRNA from 1 species